CUUCACCUUUACUUCCAGCGAGGUGUAUGUCCCAUGGACCUCAUGGAGCUACUCAUGGAGGAAACACCAUUCCCCAAAAUGGAGCUCAGAUGGGCAUGAUUGAGCCUCCACCAUCCAGUGGCUUUAUUUGUGCAGAGAAUUUCAGGUGUGGGUUUCUUCUGAAAGCAGAGCCUCCAGCUUUCGGCGCCUGUCAGAUCUGCGGGCUGUAAGGCAGUGGGAAAAAAAGUCUCUCCUGAACCCCCAAAAGAUAUUUGAGAGAAUUGUGAAUGCUGGGGUAACUUGGAGAUACUCGUGAGGUCUCCCUGAACAUGCCUGCAUGGGUGCUGUGUGCAGGUAAGUGAUGACAGGCAAGAAACCAGGAACACAAGAAAGUGAAAAUAUUAGUUAGUUCCCAAGUGAGUUUUGUCAAAGCGUUGGAAAUGCCUAUGCACCCUGUCUAGCUCCACCCUGGAGAGCCAGCUAAAGCAUA